AUCUUUAGUAUAUAUAACUACCAUAGCGCUUCCGCGGGGAGCUUCGUGGUCAUUCUCGUAAAUAUUUUUCUCUGUAUUUAAAAAAAAAACACCUGGAAUAACUAGUCUACUUCCACUAUACUAGUAAUUAUAAAUAAGCGUGUUGCAAGCGAAGUAACUACGUCAUCGUGGCGCUGGCAGCGCAGAAAAGGUCAACAAACUUAUAUAUACCGGUACUCGACUCCGAAUUAAUCAUUUCAUUCAUUCUUCGAGUCCAAGCAACCUGCGGAAACUUUGUUUGGCUCUGCAUCAUCUUAUUUAUUUGAUCGUAAUAUUGGACAGCCUUAAUACACAGAUGGACGGAACAGGAGAAAGAAGUCGACCAACAUUUUCAAAUGGUCUAGACCACAGAGUUCAGGAGGGGAUAAGGCACAGAGGUCACAAUGGCAGAAUGCCUGGAGGGUCCGAGGGUGACCGAGACAUCACAGUCUCACAGCUCAGACAUGCAGCCCAUCAGAUGCAAACUGACUUUGUAGAUCAGAUGCAAGAUAGAUUACACAAUUUGUUGGAUGGGUUUGUUGGAGAGGUAACAAGGAUGGGGGAGUUAGAAUCACCUGUCAAGGAGAACCCCAAAGGAAAGAGGGAACCUCUUGCACAGAAAGUGUUUGUACCACGUGAAUCCCUUCUGACGAUUCUCUUGAAAGACAAGAAUAUACAGACAAUCUACAAUAUUUUAGUAGCAAUGUUAAUCGUCAUCAUCAUGAAUACGUUCACAACGGAUUUACUAGAAACUGGAAGCAUACGUCUAGACUUUGGUCUACUUCAGAGAGCGUUUGGUCAGGCCCCCAUUGUUCUGUGGACUUGGUUCUUAAUGCAGAUCUGGGCCAUGUUAUUUUUCUACUGUACCUUCCAGUACUGGGCACAGCAUGGAUCUUGUUAUUACACCCCCUUGAGCUUGUACAUUCCUGAUGGGGUGUGGUUAGUAGUAUACAUCACCUACCAAGUUAUCUUCCUCUAUGUGCCGAUGCAAGCCGUCCUUGUCCAUUCUCUUCCAUUUGCAUCCUCCAUCAUCAUCACCACUGAGCAGCUCAGACUCCUCAUGAAGAUGCAUGCCUUCAUGAGGGAGAAUGCUCCAAAAGCGUUGGCAUGGAAACGACAGAGGAUAUCAGCCAAUAAAUCCUCAAAUGGCAAUUCAAAGGUACCGAGAGAAGCACGAUCGGACGAUGGCGAUGUAGAUAACUCCGUUGCUAAUGGCAACCAUACUGAACAAGCCUUGACUCCAUGCCCCGAUUUUUCUAAGUACCUAUACUUUCUCUUCUGUCCGUCCCUCAUCUAUCGGGACUCGUAUCCCAGGACAGCCCAUAUCAGGUGGGAUGUCGUCAGAAUAAAUUUCCUUCAGGUCCUUGGAUGUUUAUUCUAUACUUUCUACCUCUUUGACUGUUUCUGUAUCCCGCUCUUCAAGAACUUUAACGAAGAUUUAUUGUCGAUGAAGGGUUUGGCAAGAGCAAUCUUCACAUGCAUGCUCCCGGCUACACUCAUGCUUUUACUUGCCUUCUUUGCAAUACUCCAUUCCUGGUUCAAUGCCUUUGCCGAAAUGCUACGAUUUGCAGACAGGCAGUUUUACAAGGACUGGUGGACAUGUAAGAAUUACUCCACAUACUACAGAACAUGGAACAUUGUCGUCCAUGACUGGCUCUAUACAUAUAUUUACAGGGACUGCCAGCUUGCAGGUUUCGGAAGACUAACAAGUAGCUUGAUGGUGUUUGCAAUAUCAGCUGUAUUCCAUGAAUAUAUCGUUGUCAUGGCAUUUCGAUACUUCUAUCCGGUCCUGUUAGUAUUCUUUGUGGGUUUCGGAGUGCCCAUGUCCCUUCUCCUUACCGGCGAGUGGAAGUCAGCUGUCUGGAAUAUCUUCAUGUGGAUCACUCUGAUCUCCGGAAUGGGUAUAAUAUUAGUUCUAUACAGUCUAGAAUGGUAUGCAAGAUUCUCCUGUGAUUAUGAUAGGGAUACAUGGACGCAUUUGUUGGUACCUCAAUCGUGGGGCUGCAAACUGUUAUAGCAGGUCACAUGAUCACAAGCCCCUCCCAAUUUGGUCGCUGGACGGAUGUGAUAACAUUGGACAGACCUAAAGAACGCUUUUGAAACAUUAAAGAAAAUGAAAUCGUUAAUCGUAUGCUAUGAAAUAUUGACAGUGCAUGGAUAGCUCUGCAAAGUCUAACAUCGAUCAGGUCACAUGAUCGAAUGCCUACCAUUGUAAUAUCACCAUGGAAACACAAGAGCAACAUCCAUGAAACUCAUACCAUUCAGCAUAGAUUCAGAAGAAAGGAAAUUGCUCAUAUUUAACAUUAGAUGGACAAGGUCCAUCAUAUUCACCUAGGGGACCUACAGCUUGCAGUCCAAUUGGAGGAAAUUGAUCAUUGAGGAUGGAUAUCCGAUCAGGCAAGAGCACUCGGAUUUGAUCGCCUACCAACCCUUGAUUUAUGUUAUUUUUUUUAUAAGUCAGAUAUUCUUAUUUCACUUAUCAUUCAUUGCUUUUAUUUCUUGGAAUCUGUUGUCUUUUCUGUGUUUGGUGUGAUGGGAAUGUGACACAUUUGAAAUUAUUUAUUUAUCAGUUAAUACAGUGAAACCUCACCCGUAUAUAAAGCCCAGUCAAGGGAGACAAGGUAAAUGGGCACCAUGUGCAGGUGGUCUUUAUUCACUAGUUCCUUUUUAUACGCCCGUCCUAGAUGGGAUGUAUUAUGGUAUCAAGCCUGAUGUCCGUCCGUCCAUCUGUCCGUCCGUCUGUCUGAUAACUUUUCCUUGUAAACACGAUAACUUCAGUUUGACUUAACCUAGGCUCAUAUAAUUUGGUGUGUAUUAUACUAGCAUGGAUCCCAGGAAGCCUAUUGAUUGUGGGGUCCAAAGGUCAAGAUCACAGUGAUAUGUUUUCAUCUUACCCCUCUGAAGUCCUUGUUAACACGAUAACUUUAGUUGAACUUAACCUAGGCUCAUAUAAUUUGGUGUGUAUGAUAAUAGCAUAAAUCCCAGCAAUUCUGUUGAUUUUGAGGUCAGAAGGUCAGAGGUGAAGUCGCCACCUUCCACUUUGCUUGCUUGACCAAUAACUCCAUUUUUCAUGUUACAGGUGGGCGUAUUAUGUGCUCGCCUUAGUGAUACUCUUGUUACAUGCAUUUCAUUGGGGGAAGUUAUCAAAAAUGUAAUCCUUUUUUAUACGUGUAGACAGGUGACCCUUCUAUAAAGGUGGUAGCUAUUUAAUACAGGUUUGACUAUUGUUGCUUUGGUGGCCUGCUACAAAAAGACCUUGCCUCAAUCAGUAACAUAAAUGGGUUCCAUGACAUUUGCUCCGGUGAUAAUUGCUGCGAUGAAAAAUCUCCACAUUAAAGCCACUCAUAAAUCCUAACCUCCAAUACUAAAUAAACCCUAAUCCUAAUCUUGACAUAAUUCUGAACCAAACACACUAUUACAAUCCUACCUCUAACCCUAUGCCCUCUGAGAUAUUAAGACCAGAGCAAAUGUCGCAGGAGCAUAUGUCAUAUCACCCAUAAUUGUACAAUCAAAACACUAAGUUGUUUGCUAUGGGGCUAGGGCCUGUAUAGUCAUUUAAAACUUGAUCAUACAAGUAAUUAUAUUUGAUGUGACUGAGGUAGUAGUUACAGUAGUAAAGGACGUGAUUAUUCUUCCAUAACUUCUCUUUCAUAGUAAGCUAUAAAAUGUGCUCUUGAAAUUUGAAAUACUUUUGUGAUACUGCAGGAUUUUGAAUGAGUAUGACUAAAAAUUAAUGUAAGUGAGGAUAUAAUACAGAGAAUCUUUCAGUGCCAUUUCUUUGCCUUUAAUUUAUGUUGUAAUUAUUCCAAUUGUUUUGUUGUUUGCAAUCUACCAAUGCGUGUAAAAAGCUAAAUGAAAUACUUCCAUUUGUGAAUUACUUUUAAAUAUUUUUUAAUUGUCUGGUUUUGUCAAUAUGUGAGAAAGAAAAUUUUUAGAGAGGAUUGAUCUUGAAUAUUAGCCACUCAAGUCGUAAUAUUCAUGUAAUUAUGAGAAAAGACUGAAUUUCCUUAUUUUAAUAUAUUUUAAUAUAUUAAUAUCUUGUAUAUUUUUUCCACAAGGUUCAAAAAGAUGAAAUAAAUAUGUAUUUAUUUAAUUAAGUUAUACAUUUAUGUGACUGUAUAAUAUUUUAUCACAUUGAUUUUGCCUUUUUGCUUGUAUAUUACAGAAAUGAAAUGAAAAUAUGAAAAAUUUAUAUUUUUUGUGAUUAAUCAGGUGAUGAAUCAAUGAUUAUAUUAUGAAGAGGACCGACAAUGUAAUCCAUUAUUCCUAUUAUGAAAUCAUACAUGUGAUUGAGUUAAUGCUCAUAUACUAUCAUUAUUCUAUUUGGUCAACCGUCAAUGAAAAUAUCAUGACAUCAAGGUUUUAAAAAAUGGUCAACAUUGGCUCCAUGAUAAUCACCUCUCACAUUGUUGUUAAAAAAAUGUUAUAAUUUGUUCCUUAAAGCAGAUAGGAACCAAUAGCGCCAUCUCAAGACCUCAACUACUCAUACCUGGCCAGUUUCCUGACCCAUAAUGCUAGUGUAGUCUAGUAAUAUAGACUCACUUGAAUGAUAACAUGCUAAUUAGCUACUCAAUACAUUUAUACCGCAAUAAUUAUGUAACCAAGUAGCAAAACAAUUACUUUUCCUCUCAAAACAUUUUAGUUUCUCUAUAUAAAUACAAUUAUAGGUCAAUUUAUUCUCUGUAGUAUUAGGAGAUAUCUGAAAACGUACAUUUUAAGACUAUGUUUUUAUAACACACAGUCAAUGAGAGACUACACACAGUUCACUCCCCCUUUAAAGUUUAAUAAAACUCAGAUAUCAUCCCAUUACUUCCAGGAUUCAAGAGGAAGGGGGAUGGAAAUGUUCAACCUAACAUCCCCCCCUCCCCACUUCUAUGUGUUUGUCAAUUUUACACGAGUAUAGCACCAAACAUAAAAUGGAAAUGGUCCUUAAAAGUCACUCUCUAGUUGUGUGAGCUGUCAACAUUUAAUUGUGUAAACUCAGAAUAGGUUUUGGAGGUAGGAAAUGCAAUCUAAAUUGUGCUUCCAACACCAGACUCUAGUAUUGACACUGUUUACUUUUCAUAGUUUUUGUUUCGUUUUAUGUUGUACACGCCUUGAGUAUCAUGCAGAAUAGAUAUGUGCACAAUAUAAAUAUAAAUGUUAGUUUUAUUGAUGUUAUUGUUUAAAUUUUCCAACCAUUCCAAAGUAACUAUAUGUAGAUAAAUCAUUAGAAUGUGCUCAGGAACAUAUUUGGUUAUUCAUAAUUGAGUCUUUGAAAGCCAGAUAGAAAGAAUUUGUGCUACCGGUAUAUUUUAUGUGGAAGCGCCGUGGUGUAGCGGUUCUGACUCUCGCCUUUUAAUCAGAGGGUCGUGUGUUCGAAUCCCACCAUGGCCUAGCGCCCUUUGGCAAGGCGUCAAUCCACACUUUGCCACUCUCACCCAGGUGCUAAUUGGGUACCGGUAGGAAACAACCGUCAUUGUGGUUGGUUUAGCAAGUGUGCGCCUAACAGGCUGCUUGAAAUGCUAUGAAUCCAGUGAGCGGGUAAUAAUAAUUGUAAAGCACUUUGAACAGUCGUAGAUUGAUAAAGUGCUAUAUAAAUGCCAAUUAUUAAUUAUUAUUAUAUGUUUAUAAUAAAACCUAAUUGAAAAAAAUGAAAA